ACUUCGUCAAACACGUUUUUAUGUUCAACGUUUAAUCGUCCGUCUUAUUCGAAAUUUUUAUGAUUAAUAUUUUUAUUGUUAUUAGAUUAUAAAACAUGAAUAGUAUUUUAUGCGUGACUUAUUUUUUUAAUUUUUUCAUAUUUUUUCAAAUAAAACGAACGGUCAAAUGUUGGACAGAAAAACCGAUAAUUGCACUUAAA
rfam:Oryza punctata chromosome 2, whole genome shotgun sequence.